GCAAACUUGGUCAUUUAGAGGAAGUAAAAGUCGUAACAAGGUUUCCGUAGGUGAACCUGCGGAAGGAUCAUUAUUGAAUACUUGAAGUCAGUUGAGCUGGUCCUUAAUAGGACAUGUGCUUGCUGCUUCUAUUCAUACUAUCCACCUGUGCACUUAUUGUAGAGCUUUGAAGAGGGUCUUAGUUAACUCUGGGACUAGUAUUCAAGUUCUAUGUUUUUAUACAAACUCUAUGAAUGUCUCGAAUGUCUUUUAUUGGGACUUAACUGGCCCUUUAAACUUUAUACAACUUUCAGCAACGGAUCUCUUGGCUCUCGCAUCGAUGAAGAACGCAGC
rnacentral:misc_RNA from 1 species